GUUGUCCUCGGCUGUAGCUAGCUGCUAAUUAGCUGAUGAUUAGUGAACAUGGCUGGACACCGAAUGGGACACAGCAUCUGAGGUCAGUUUGACAACAGGAGGAUACAAACCCAGAGAAAUGAUGCACAGUCACUGUGCCUCCAUCUUUUUUGUGCAAAGGUCACCUCCAUUGGCAUUCUGAGGCAGAGGAGCCUUUGAAGACUGGAAAUUAAACUCCCAUCACCGCGAGAGAAAUCUGUUUCCUCAGCGGAGACCAAACAAGGCAGAGUCACAUCUGUGAAAAGUUCAUUUAAAUUAUGGAUUGCGCUCAUUUCGGUUGCAUUUUUCAGUCUGAUUGUUUUCAGCUUCCCUGGAACACUGUAAAGGUUAAUUGUAUAUCUAAGUGGCUGUUAUUGCCUUUGCUUUUGUCGACAUGUCAGCAGGAAGCCAAAAUUUUUGGCAAAGGGUUGCAGCACUGUCCUAUUGGAAGUGAAUUUAAAUAAAGACUGUACCGAUGUAUCAUAUGAAUA